AGCAACAGAAUGGAACCGAUGAUGCUGAUCCUUUAAUGCAGGAUUCUAGAACUCUAGCGCCUGCUUGACUCUAUAAAAGGACCUCAGAUUCUUACAGUGCAACUGCACACACGUGUUGUUAACCAGCUAAUAUACUACAGAGGCGAUCUUCUCCAGACAACCACAGACUGCUAAGGAUUACAGUCAGUUACAAGCCAAUUCAGUCUUCUACAGACAAACCACAGUCGACAAAACUGACAGAGUUGGCUUUCACCCUAUUGGACAGGUAAACUAACAUUACAAAGCAUAUGAAAUAUAUAGCAGUAACAAAGGACGACUAACACCUCUGACCCGAGACAGGGUUGGGAAGGCCCCACUGCGAGUUUCUCCAUUAAAGCCGACAAGAGACGGACCCCCGGAGCAAUUCCCUGGCAAAGAAGUUUGCCAAAGAAGUUUUAAGAUAAUUGAGCGAUUAUUAACUAACUGAUCACUAGGAAUAAUUGUAUAAUUAUUAAAAUGCUACCCAGAGGUCCGGAGACUCUGGGUUAAUAACAACUCCGGUGGUGCCUCGAAACGAGAGAUUUAUGGAUUAAUAUUUUCUGAAUAUUAAAAUUCAUAAUAUAUACAUAAAUUUAUUAAAAAUCAUACGUAGCUUUAGACCUGCUACACUAACAUUAUCCAAUUCAGUACUGCUGUUGUAUGGCUUGCCACAUUAACGUAGACUCACUGUAUUUCGGACAUCAUGGUAUUCCGGACACUUGACCUUUUCAUGCUCAUGCUAAUUUAUAAAUAAAUACUUCCAGGUCAUGCCAGUCGUUUGAAAGAAAUCAACGUGAGUUUCCAGCGUGCACCAAUGAGAAAAUGGCGGGGGGAGGGUUUUCCGGUCGGACAAAAAGAGGGGCGAGUCAUACCUCUGCUAAGAACAGCGUUUUAAACAUGAACACCCACCAGAAAAAUAUAAUAUCUAUCAUAAAAUAGUUAUGAGUUACAAUUGGCAAAUAUUUGAACUAUUUAAGGCAUACACACAUUUACUGAGGCACUUUGUCCGACAUGAAUUUGAGUGCCAGCGGCACAUCACAGCAUGUGAAGUUAACGUUAUUGUCCCUCGAUGUUAAAAUGUUAAUUCUAUAUUUGAGGACCCAAUAAAAAAUGACUCUAGACUUAAUGUUAUAAAAAGUAACAUAUGUUAUGUAGUGAACAGCCAGUGUGGAUUUGAUCAUUUUAUAUCAAAUAAAUUUGGAGAUCCCAAAUUCCUUUUUUGUCUCUCCCCGAGGAAAGAGGGGGCCUGACCCAAGUGAAAAGUUUGCUUUCCCUAAGUGCUGUUUUGGGCAGUUAGAUCGUAAAACUUACCACCUCGGGUGAAGCUGAGAUAAGACUCGAUGCCCUGACUGUUAAAAUGAUAAUAUCAACACUAACCAGAAACUUUUUGAGCAAUGUUUCUGGGCAAUCUUGUUAGUGGCAAGUCCGACUAUGUUUUUAACGGCUGGCGGCGGUGCGGGGCAGGUGGCGGAGUGGUGGGGUAAGGGCAUUACGGUAGUAAUCUUUACUCAUUACCAUUGACGGCAACAUUGCCCAGCACCAUUGCUCUAAAAGUUGCUCCGUGUAUCAUCAGCUUUAAUGUUUAACUACUGACAGUUGUUUUCCCUUUUUAUCAAAUGCUUAAAACCAAGAAUGGUAUAACUGUUUGACAUCUAAGGUUCCAUUGUGGAGAGGUAUUUGAUUAAAAUACGUGCAUAUAGUCUUUAGGACCAUAUUAAAAGUUAAUACACUGAAGUCUCGGAGGAGACCGGAAGCCAAGCCCCCUGGGGACACGCCCCAAGGGGCCAGACAAACAAAGCAGCAGAGCUCUUUGUUGCUCGCUCUCUUCCCUUGUUCUCUGGUCACUUCGCUCUUGCUCUCUACUCUACACGCUAACAGAGCGUGCUCCCAGCAACGCCCUAAGGAGUCCGGCCCGGCAUUGCCGUGAAGAUUCCUUUGUUCUUUACAAGCCACAAACGCGAAGAAGAGCCGCGACUACGGCUUUUCCCUCGUUUACAGCAACUUACUUGCUUUUGUAGCCCUGGUGUAAAAUAUAGGGAUUAAAAUAAGUUAGUUCCUAUCAAAAGCAGAAUAAAAUAAUUCAGUAUGGAAAUUAACCUAAAAAGAAAUUUAGUUUAAUAAGGAAAGAGUAAUGCUUAGCUCAGAUAUUAAGAUAAUUUAGUCCUAAAUGAGAUGAAAAUGUAAAUAUUUGCAAAAUAAACUAUUCUGUGUGUUUGAGGUAAAACAGUAAGGUAAACUGAAGGGAAAAAAUACAGAUUGAUCCUUUAUUUUCAGCUUUAUUUUCAGCAUUGUUGAUGUUAACAUUUGAUUGGUUGCUGUGGGUGUUAGUCAGUGUCACUUGUGGUGAUUGGCUGUAACCAAGAAAAUGAGCUGGACUGGGUGGGAAAGAAAAAACGGAAGGGACAGCGAAAAAAAAAAGCCGCGAGAGAGAGACGGGAGAGACACAAAGUAGGAGAGGUGACCACAGAGCUGGAGAAAAGUGGAGAAACUUACAGAUAUGCAGUUUGUCGAAUGUUUACGUAACGUUAUAAGACGUUAUAGCUGAGGACAGUAAAGCACAGUACUCGCUUAACCGCAGUGUGUUAGAGUGCAGGUUUAAUGAGAGUGUGGCUAACUGAGCUAACGUUGGCGAGCCACUGGAGCAGAGGACGCCAUUGCUGAUCUUGGACUGUUUGGAGUUCCGCACGAGGACCUAACGAGGACUUUGCCUCCGCUGCCGUUUGGCUUGAUCUUUUCACCGCUUCCUGUUCUGUUGUCUGGACGCUGAACUGUAAGUUGGACCGUGUGUAUUGUUACUCUGUUGAGAGAGAGGGAAAAAAGGAUUUUGUCGGCCACACCGCACACGAGCUACACACAGGCCUGCAACUUUUUUAUUUUUGCGCGCAACUGAGAGACUGUGUGUGUGUGCAUGCGGCCCGAUGUGUGUUUGUGUGGUAACUGAUUAAGUACAUGAAAGUAUUUGGAGUUAGCCUAUUAAUGUUUUGAAGGGUAAAGCAGAAAAAGCAAAAACAAGACAUUUGCUGAAGAAUUAAGAAUCAACAGUGUGUGAUAUAGUAUUUUGGUAUCAAAGACAGGUUUUCUAUAAUUUUAAAGUAAGAAGAACAACCAAGUUCUUUUAAGCUUUAUUGUAGUCGAGCGAACUUAUACUGCUCCCACCGAAGUUUGGACCCAGCCACGUGGGCCAUUACGCCAGCAGUAACAGAGGACAACCACGAAACUAAACCCAGCUAAAAGCCUACCACUGCAAGUUUUCUUCAAACCAAGCCAAUUGAGGACGGAUCUCCGGAGCAAUUCUCUGGCAGAGAAAGCGACUGGCCGACGGCUUGUUAAGCCAUACCAACGGAGAACGCACGAAACUCAGCCAGCGUGAGGCCGACCUAACACCAACCGACUGGAGACACAACAAGCAGUAAGGCUAAAACCCUGCAUUCUGUGGUUGAGUUGAUGUCCAAUAGUCUGUUAAUCCAUUAGCUUUAAUCCUUAAUCAUUCCAGCCUAAAACUCCUAGACAAAUUUAACCGAGUUAGUAUCAUAUAAUCUGCGUUUAUUAGUUGUCUUUCUCCCUAUGAAUCAAAUUCUCCCCACAAUAGAACAACUCAAUUUACAUUGAACUCCACAACAUUCUCCUUGUUUGCAUCAUGUUUGUUUAGCCAUUGUUUAUUUCUUUGAUGUAUAUUUAACCGCAUUUAUAUCCACCUUUUAGUUAGUUAAUAAAUUUCACCGUAAUCACA